GUUAAAAAGCUCGUAGUUGAACUUCAGGCCUGGCUGGGCGGUCCGCCUCACGGUGUGUACUGUCCGGCUGGGUCUUACCUCUUGGUGAGCCGGCAUGCCCUUCAUUGGGUGUGUCGGGGAACCAGGACUUUUACCUUGAGAAAAUUAGAGUGUUCAAAGCAGGCCUGCGCCUGAAUACAUUAGCAUGGAAUAAUAAAAUAGGACGUGCGGUUCUAUUUUGUUGGUUUCUAGAGUCGCCGUAAUGAUUAAUAGGGAUAGUUGGGGGCAUUAGUAUUCCGUUGCUAGAGGUGAAAUUCUUGGAUUUACGGAAGACUAACUAUUGCGAAAGCAUUUGCCAAGGAUGUUUUCCAUUAAUCAAGAACGAAGGUUAGGGGAUCGAAAACGAUCAGAUACCGUUGUAGUCUUAACAGUAAACUAUGCCGACUAGGGAUCGGGCGAACUCAAUUUGAUGUGUCGCUCGGCACCUUACGAGAAAUCAAAGUCUUUGGGUUUUGGGGGGAGUAUGGUCGCAAGGCUGAAACUUAAAGGAAUUGACGGAAGGGCACCACCAGGUGUGGAGCCUGCGGCUUAAUUUGACUCAACACGGGGAAACUCACCAGGUCCAGACAUGACUAGGAUUGACAGAUUGAUAGCUCUUUCAUGAUUUUAUGGGUGGUGGUGCAUGGCCGUUCUUAGUUGGUGGAGUGAUUUGUCUGGUUAAUUCCGAUAACGAACGAGACCUUAACCUGCUAAAUAGCCUGGCCGGCUUAGGCUGGUCACCGGCUUCUUAGAGGGACUGUCUGCGUCUAGCAGACGGAAGUUUGAGGCAAUAACAGGUCUGUGAUGCCCUUAGAUGUUCUGGGCCGCACGCGCGCUACACUGACAGAGCCAGCGAGUUUUUUUCCUUGGCCGGAAGGUCCGGGUAAUCUUGUGAAACUCUGUCGUGCCGGGGAUAGAGCAUUGCAAUUAUUGCUCUUCAACGAGGAAUACCUAGUAAGCG
rnacentral:rRNA from 1 species